GUUGUGGGGUUAAGCGACUAAGCGUACACGGUGGAUGCCCUGGCAGUCAGAGGCGAUGAAGGACGUGCUAAUCUGCGAUAAGCGUCGGUAAGGUGAUAUGAACCGUUAUAACCGGCGAUUUCCGAAUGGGGAAACCCAGUGUG
rnacentral:rRNA from 1 species